rnacentral:rRNA from 1 species
UACGUAGGGGGCUAGCGUUGUCCGGAAUUACUGGGCGUAAAGGGUGCGCAGGCGGCACUUUAAGUUAGAUGUGAAAUAUCCGGGCUUAACCUGGAGGGUGCAUCUAAUACUGGAGUGCUUGAGUGCAGGAGAGGAAAGUGGAAUUCCUAGUGUAGCGGUGAAAUGCGUAGAUAUUAGGAGGAACACCAGUGGCGAAGGCGACUUUCUGGACUGUAACUGACGCUGAGGCACGAAAGCGUGGGGAG